rnacentral:rRNA from 1 species
AUUCCAGUUGAUCCUGCUGGCGGCUGCGGCUCUCUGGUUUGCACUUAGACAUGCAAGUUUCUUUGUUUCUUCGGAAGUAAGGGAGCGAACUGCUCAGUAACACGUAGCUAAUCUACCCUUAAGUCAGAGAUACCCUCGGGAAACUGAGGUUAAUAUCUGAUAGAAGAUAUACCCUGGAAUGAUUUAUCUUUUAAACUUGAGCUUAAGGAUGAGGCUGCGGCGGAUUAGGUUGUUGGCGGGGUAAUAGCCCACCAAGCCGAAAAUCCGUAAGGGCUCUUAGCGGAGAGGCCCUGAGAGGGAAUCUGAGACACUAUUCCCAGCCCCACGGGGUGCAGCAGUUAGGAAUAUUCUGCAAUGCGCGAAUGCGUGACAGAUUGAACCAGAGUGUGUUUCUAUUGAAAUGCUUUUGUGAAAUGCAAAAAGUUUCACGAAUAAGGACUGGGUAAGACUAGUGCCAGCCGCCGCGGUAAUACUAGCGGUCCAAGUCGCAGCCAUUUUUAUUGGGUCUAAAACAUCCGUAGCUUGUCUAAUAAGUUUCUUGUGAAAUUUUAUAUCUCAAAUAUAAAGCGCGCAAGAAGUACUAUUAAACUAGAGACUGGAAGACGUAAGAAGUAUGUUCGAAGUAGCGGUAAAAUGUUUUAAUCUCGGACAGACUCACAAUAGCGAAGGCAUCUUACGAGGACAGUUCUGACAGUAAGGGAUGAAGGCUAGGGGCGCAAAACGGAUUAGAUACCCGUGUAGUCCUAGCAGUAAACACUGCACACUAAACAUUAGUACCUCCUCGAGAGGUAUUAGUGCUGAAGGGAAGCCGAAGAGUGUGCUACCUGGGAAGUAUAGCCGCAAGGCCGAAACUUAAAGGAAUUGGCGGGGAGACACUACAACAGGUGACGCGUGCGGUUCAAUUAGACUAUACACCGUGAACCUCACCAGGAGCGACAGCAGGAUGAAGGUCAGUCUAAAGGGCUUACCUGACACGCUGAGAGGAGCUGCAUGGCCGACGUCAGCCUGUGCCGUGAGGUGACCUGUUAAAUCAGGUAACAGGCAAGACCCACAUACAUAUUUGCCACGUGCACCAUAUGUAGAUCGCCUUGGCAACAAGGAUGAAAGUGUGGGCUACGUUAGGUGAGUACAGCCCGAAUCCCCUGGGCAACACGCGCGCGUCAAUGGUGAAUACAACGGGAUGCGACUCUGAAAAGAGAAGCUAAUCUCUUAAAGUUCAUCUCAGUCCAGAUUGAGGUUUGCAACUCAGCCUCAUGACGCUGGAAUCUGUAGUAAUCGUUUGUUAUCAGCGAACGGUGAAUACGUCACUGUCUCUUGCACACACUGCCCGUCAAACCAACCAAGUUAUGUUAUGGUGAAACUUUUCGAAGGAGAACUUUAGCAUGACAAGGUAGGUUAAGUCGUCACAAGGUAACUGUAGGGGAACCUGCAGUUGGAUCACCUCCU